rnacentral:pre_miRNA from 1 species
UUUGUGGAGGAGUGUCCCUCAGCCCAGAUUGCGAGAGGGCUCAGGCCAAGCUGAGGGACCCUACUGGUGCAUG